UGUUGUGAAUUAAUUCAUUAUUUAUAAAUAAUUAAUUCACCGCCACCUACGACGACGUUGUCAUCGUCCAUCGCGACAUUUUACAUUAGACACCAUACAAUGCCAAAUUGGUAGGCAUCGCCCAACCCUAAUUCAGACUCAACAUUGCAUAUCCUGUGAUGUGACUAUUGAAGAUGCAGACAUUGCCAUUUCAAAGCUAAAACGAUAUAUUGUGCAGGCCUACUUAAGGCCUAUAUCUACCUGUGGUUAUUUGGGCAAAUGGCUAUUUUUUUAAAAAUCCAAAUAUUUCUAAAAACAUAGGAACUUGAUACAACAGUGAAAGAAUUAAUAUAGUUAGUGACCCCUUAUAUUUCCUCAAACAUCGAAACAUUACAUUAAAAUAACUAAUUUUCCUUCAAAAAUGGCCUGCCCUUACGCAAUCGCUAAAGAGAUGAAUUGAUCUUUUCAAAGGAUUACCUGGAGUUAUCGGAGCAAUUGAUUGCAUACACAUUCCAAUCUCUAUGCCAGUAAAAGAAAUCAAGGCUACUUUCUUUAACAGGAACGCCACUCACAGCAUCAAUGUUCGGAUGACUUGUGACCAUCAGUGUUUGAUCACAAGCCUGGAUGCCAGAUGGCCUGGCUCAAUGCAGGACAACCAAAUUUUCGAGAAGUCAAAGUUAUGUCAGCGCUUUUAGCAAGGUACAGUAAAACUGCAACUGUAGACAGCACUUCAUGAAAAUGGAGUGUUAUUGUGACGCUGGUCUUUCUGGUGUACAUUAUCAGGGCUGUUCGAAGGUGUGUUGGUGGGAGACGGGACCUAUGCAUGCCAGAGCUUUUUGCUGACUUUUUCAAACCAGGCUCAAGCUAGACUCCACUUUAGCCAUUUUAAAGGCCCGGCUUAACUGUCUUCGUGACCUGAGAGUGUCACCCUAACGCACGUCUCAGUUUGUGGGUGCAUGUACUGUCCUCCACAACAUGGCCUCUAUAAGGAAGGAGCAGAUGUCAAGUGAAUGCCAGCAAUCCAAUGAUGUUGUUGACCCUGUUUCCCGGGACCAUCCCGCUGGGAGGGGUGUCAGACUUGCCAUCACAGAAGAAUAUUUCAUGCAACAUUCAAUAAAGCAAAAUUGACAAC